CAAGGCUAAAUACUCCUGACUGACCGAUAGUGAACCAGUACCGUGAGGGAAAGGCGAAAAGAACCCCGGCGAGGGGAGUGAAAAAGAACCUGAAACCGUGUACGUACAAGCAGUGGGAGCACCCUUUUGGGUGUGACUGCGUACCUUUUGUAUAAUGGGUCAGCGACUUAUAUUCUGUAGCAAGGUUAACCGAAUAGGGGAGCCGGAGGGAAACCGAGUCUUAAUUGGGCGUUAAGUUGCAGGGUAUAGACCCGAAACC
rnacentral:rRNA from 2 species